rnacentral:rRNA from 1 species
UACGUAGGGCGCAAGCGUUGUCCGGAAUUAUUGGGCGUAAAGAGCUCGUAGGCGGCUUGUCACGUCGAUUGUGAAAGCCCGAGGCUUAACCUCGGGUCUGCAGUCGAUACGGGCUAGCUAGAGUGUGGUAGGGGAGAUCGGAAUUCCUGGUGUAGCGGUGAAAUGCGCAGAUAUCAGGAGGAACACCGGUGGCGAAGGCGGAUCUCUGGGCCAUUACUGACGCUGAGGAGCGAAAGCUAGGGGAGCGAACAGG